AUUGAACGCUGGCGGCAUGCCUUACACAUGCAAGUCGAACGGUAACAGGUCUUCGGAUGCUGACGAGCGGCGAACGGGUGAGUAAUACAUCGGAACGUGCCCGAGAGUGGGGGAUAACGAGGCGAAAGCUUUGCUAAUACCGCAUACGAUCCCAGGAUGAAAGCAGGGGCCCGCAAGGCCUUUCGCUCAAGGAGCGGCCGAUGGCAGAUUAGGUAGUUGGUGGGAUAAAAGCUUACCAAGCCGACGAUCUGUAGCUGGUCUGAGAGGACGACCAGCCACACUGGGACUGAGACACGGCCCAGACUCCUACGGGAGGCAGCAGUGGGGAAUUUUGGACAAUGGGCGCAAGCCUGAUCCAGCCAUGCCGCGUGCAGGAUGAAGGCCUUCGGGUUGUAAACUGCUUUUGUACGGAACGAAAAGACUCUGGUUAAUACCUGGGGUCCAUGACGGUACCGUAAGAAUAAGCACCGGCUAACUACGUGCCAGCCGCCGCGGUAACAC
rnacentral:rRNA from 1 species